rnacentral:rRNA from 1 species
GAUGAACGCUGGCGGCGUGCCUAACACAUGCAAGUCGAACGGAGAUUCCGGACGGAUGUUUUCGGAUGGAAGACUGUAAUUAUUUGUGGCGGACGGGUGAGUAACGCGUGGGCAACCUGCCUUAUACAGGGGGAUAGCAGCUGGAAACGGCUGGUAAGACCGCAUAAGUCGGUUAAAUCGCAUGAUUUGAUCGGGUAAUGAGCAAUCAGGUAUAGGAUGGGCCUGCGUCCGUUUAGCCAGUUGGCAGGGUAAAAGCCUACCAUAGCGACGAUCGGUAGCCGGACUAAGAGGUCGGACGGCCACAUUCGGGCUGAGACACGGCCGAAACUCGUACGGGAGGCGGCAAUGGUGGAUAUUGCACAAUCGAGGAAACUAUGAUGCGGCGACGCCGCGUAAGUGAAGAAGUAUUUCGGUAAGUAAAGCUCUAUCAGCAGGGAAGAUGAUGGCGGUAACUGACUAAGAAGCCCCGGCUAACUACGUG